CCUACGGGGAGCAGCAGUGAGGAAUAUUGGUCAAUGGACGAGAGUCUGAACCAGCCAAGUAGCGUGAAGGAUGACUGCCCUAUGGGUUGUAAACUUCUUUUAUAUGGGAAUAAAAUGUUCCACGUGUGGGAUUUUGUAUGUACCAUAUGAAUAAGGAUCGGCUAACUCCGUGCCAGCAGCCGCGGUAAUACGGAGGAUCCGAGCGUUAUCCGGAUUUAUUGGGUUUAAAGGGAGCGUAGGUGGAUUUUUAAGUCAGUUGUGAAAGUUUGCGGCUCAACCGUAAAAUUGCAGUUGAAACUGGCAGUCUUGAGUACAGUAGAGGUGGGCGGAAUUCGUGGUGUAGCGGUGAAAUGCUUAGAUAUCACGAAGAACUCCGAUUGCGAAGGCAGUUCACUGGACUGCAACUGACACUGAGGCUCGAAAGUGUGGGUAUCAAACAGGAUUAGAUACCCGUGUAGUC
rnacentral:rRNA from 1 species